rnacentral:rRNA from 1 species
CCCUUAGAUGUUCUGGGCCGCACGCGCGCUACACUGUUCGACGCAGCGAGUCUUAACCUUGACCGAAAGGUUUGGGUAAUCUUCAGCAAAGUCGAACGUGAUGGGGAUCGAUCAUUGCAAUUAUUGAUCGUGAACGAGGAAUUCCUAGUAAGUGCAAGUCAUCAGCUUGCGCUGAUUACGUCCCUGCCCUUUGUACACACCGCCCGUCGCUACUACCGAUUGAACGGUUUAGUGAGGGCCUCGGAUUGGUCUCGGCCCGCUCUUUACCGGGCGGCGCCGUUGGUCGAGAAGACGCUCGAACUUGAUCGUUUAGAGGAAGUAAAAGUCGUAACA